UUGACCUCAAAUCAGGUAGGACUACCCGCUGAACUUAAGCAUAUCAAUAAGCGGAGGAAAAGAAACUAACAAGGAUUCCCCUAGUAACUGCGAGUGAAGCGGGAAGAGCUCAAAUUUGAAAUCUGGCAGCUCUCUGAACUGUCCGAGUUGUAAUCUAGAGAAGUGUUACCUGUGCUGGACCGUGUACAAGUCUCCUGGAAUGGAGCGUCACAGAGGGUGAGAAUCCCGUCUUUGACACGGACUGCCUGCAUGUUAUGGUGCGCUCUCAAAGAGUCGAGUUGUUUGGGAAUGCAGCUCAAAAUGGGUGGUAAAUGCCAUCUAAAGCUAAAUAUUGGCGAGAGACCGAUAGCGAACAAGUACCGUGAGGGAAAGAUGAAAAGAACUUUGGAAAGAGAGUUAAACAGUACGUGAAAUUGCUGAAAGGGAAACGCUUGAAGUCAGUCGCGUCGGCUAGAAAUCAACCUUGCUUUUGCUUGGUGUACUUUCUUGUUGAUGGGUCAGCAUCAAUUUUGACCGUUGGAUAAAGUCGUUGGGAAUGUGGCAUCUUAGGAUGUGUUAUAGCCCAUUGUCGCAUACAGCGGUUGGGAUUGAGGAACUCAGCACGCCCGCAAGGGACGGGUUUCGACCACGUUCGUGCUUAGGAUGCUGGCAUAAUGGCUUUAAUCGACCCGU
rnacentral:rRNA from 1 species